rnacentral:lncRNA from 1 species
CUGAAAAUUUGUGGGCAGAUAGAUCUUAAUCUGAUGAACAUUUUUUACCCCUGUCAGAUUUGAAUUUGCUCUAAAUGCUUUAGUUUCAGAGAUAUAAGCCAAAAACUGCAUGUUACCUUAUUUUCUAUUUUAAGCUAUGUCGGCCAUCUUGGUUAACAGGCGGUGUCAUCGGACACAUUUUAUCAAAACUAGAUACCCUAGUGAUGAUUGUGAUCUAGAUUGGUUAAAUUUGGUCAAGUAGUUUCAGAGGAGAAGAUUUUUGUUAAAGAUUACAAAUUCGUAUAAAAACUGUUAAAAAAUGACUAUAAAGGGCAAUCACUCCUUAAGGGGUCAACUGACAAUUUUGGUAAUGAUGACUC